rnacentral:rRNA from 1 species
UAGGGAAUCUUCGGCAAUGGGGGCAACCCUGACCGAGCAACGCCGCGUGAGUGAAGAAGGUUUUCGGAUCGUAAAGCUCUGUUGUAAGAGAAGAACGUGUGUGAGAGUGGAAAGUUCACACAGUGACGGUAACUUACCAGAAAGGGACGGCUAACUACGUGCCAGCAGCCGCGGUAAUACGUAGGUCCCGAGCGUUGUCCGGAUUUAUUGGGCGUAAAGCGAGCGCAGGCGGUUUAAUAAGUCUGAAGUUAAAGGCAGUGGCUUAACCAUUGUUCGCUUUGGAAACUGUUAAACUUGAGUGCAGAAGGGGAGAGUGGAAUUCCAUGUGUAGCGGUGAAAUGCGUAGAUAUAUGGUGGAACACCGGUGGCGAAAGCGGCUCUCUGGUCUGUAACUGACGCUGAGGCUCGAAAGCGUGGGGAGCAAACAGG